ACAAUGAAGAGUUUGAUCCUGGCUCAGGAUGAACGCUAGCGACAGGCUUAACACAUGCAAGUCGAGGGGCAGCACGGAUGCAGCAAUGUAUUGGGUGGCGACCGGCGCACGGGUGAGUAACGCGUAUGCAACCUGCCCGCAACAGGAGGAUAACCCGUCGAAAGACGGCCUAAUACUCCGUAAAACAGGGGUCCCGCAUGGGAAUAUUUGUUAAAGAUUAAUCGGUUGCGGAUGGGCAUGCGUAACAUUAGGUAGUUGGAAGGGUAACGGCCUACCAAGCCGACGAUGUUUAGGGGUUCUGAGAGGAAGGUCCCCCACACUGGUACUGAGACACGGACCAGACUCCUACGGGAGGCAGCAGUGAGGAAUAUUGGUCAAUGGCCGCGAGGCUGAACCAGCCAAGUCGCGUGCAGGAAGAAGGCCCUACGGGUUGUAAACUGCUUUUACGGGGGAAUAAAGUGCUUCACGCGUGAAGUAUUGCAAGUACCCCGGGAAUAAGCAUCGGCUAACUCCGUGCCAGCAGCCGCGGUAAUACGGAGGAUGCAAGCGUUAUCCGGAUUUAUUGGGUUUAAAGGGUGCGUAGGUGGGCCUUUAAGUCAGUGGUGAAAUUUUGGUCGCUUAACGAUAAAACUGCCAUUGAAACUGGGGGUCUUGAGUAUGGAUGAAGUAGGCGGAAUGCGUGGUGUAGCGGUGAAAUGCUUAGAGAUCACGCAGAACUCCGAUUGCGAAGGCAGCUUACUAAGGCAAAACUGACACUGAAGCACGAAAGCGUGGGUAUCAAACAGGAUUAGAUACCCUGGUAGUCCACGCAGUAAACUAUGAUUACUGGGAGUUUGCGAUAAACGGUAAGCUCUAAAGCGAAAGCGUUAAGUAAUCCACCUGGGGAGUACGCCGGCAACGGUGAAACUCAAAGGAAUUGACGGGGGCCCGCACAAGCGGAGGAACAUGUGGUUUAAUUCGAUGAUACGCGAGGA
rnacentral:rRNA from 1 species